AUUCCCUGCCUGCAACGAGCUUAUAGUCCAGAGGGGUUGUAAAUUAUCUCCCGGGCUCUCCGGAUCCUCCUCUAGACUGUAAGCUCGUUGUGGGCAGGGAGU
rnacentral:pre_miRNA from 1 species